CAUUGAAUAAGAAGGCUUUGCCUGUCUCCCGCACUGGACCCCGAGCUCCCUGAAGACAGGGAUCUUGUCUAUCUUGUUCACUGUGUGUCUCCAGCUCCUAGAACAUAUGUCAACUGGGACCGAAGGAUCCGCUUCCAAGACGGCUCACUCUAAGUCGGCCGCUGGCUGUUGGUUUCACACAGGCCUCUCUGCAGGGCCGCUUGGGUUUUCUUGCCGCGUGAUGACUGGGUUCUAAGAACACUCGCUCUUGGAACUGAGGCACGUGCUGCAAGGAAGCCCAGGCCACGUGAAGAGGCCACUUUGGGGAUCCCAGCAGAUAGCCCAUAAUCCUGGCACCAACUGUCAGGCGUCUAAGUGAGCCAAUUCAGAGGACCCCGGCCCCCAGCCUUCGAGUCUUCCAUCAGAGGCACCAGUGACAGACCAUCCUCACCAUGUUCUGUCUGCAUUCCGGACCCACAUGACCCAUGGGCAUGAUAAAUGGUUACUUAAUGCCAA